UUCCUCUUCCUCCCCGGGCUGGGCGGUGAACCCUCUCUGGAGCCCUGCAGAGCGGGACUGGGGGGCUGGGCUCUGUUUGCAUUCCCCCUGCUCCUUCCACACUCUGAUGAGAGCUUGUUUUCCUCCCCAGACCUUUGGGGGGCCCCUCUUGCUCGUUCUGAACCCUCACCGGCCCUUGCCUCUUUUUUCACCUGAGGUCCAGGCAAGCUACCACCCCAGGAAGGCCCUCAGCACCACUCCACACAUCUUUGCCAUCGUGGCAUCAGCCUAUGACCUAGCUCAGAAUACUGGGCAGGACCCGUGCAUCCUCCUGUGUGGGCACAGUGGCUCAGGGAAGACAGAAGCCGCCAAAAAGAUCAUGCAGUUCCUAAGCAGCCUGGAGCAGGAUCAGACGGGAAACCGAGAGUGUCAGGUGGAGGAUGUGCUGCCCAUACUCAGCAGCUUUGGCCAUGCCAAGACCAUCCUCAAUGCCAAUGCCAGCCGCUUCGGCCAGGUCUUCUGCCUCUACCUACAGCAAGGGGUCCUCGUGGGAGCCUCUGUGUCUCAUUAUCUACUUGAGACCUCCAGGGUGGUGUUUCAGCUGCUGGCAGGGCUGGACUCCAUAGAGC
rnacentral:sRNA from 1 species